AGCGAACGCUGGCGGCGUGCCUAACACAUGCAAGUCGAACGUGAAAGGGAGCACUCCCACGUAAUGUGGCGUACGGGAGAGUAACACGUUGGAAAUCAACCCCAGAAUCUGGAAUAACCGGCCGAAAGGCAGGCGAAUACUUGAUACAGCGACGGAAUGCGUAAUUGGGUUUUUCGGGAAAGGGAGCCUGUAAAAGGUCCGUCGUUCUGGGAUGAGCCUGCGUCCCAUCAGCUAGUUGGUGAGGUAAAAGCUUACCAAGGCAAGGACGGGUAGCGGGUCUGAGAGGACAAUCAGACACACUGGAGCUGAAACACGGGCCAGAGUCCUACGGGAGGGAGCGGAGGGGGAAAUUGCGCAAUGGGCGAGAGACUGAGACAGAACAGCCGCGUGAGUGAGAAAAGGCCUCGCGGUGUGAAAAGCUGUCGAGUGGGACGAAAAUGCUUGGAGUUCACAGCUGCAGGAACAGGCGGUACCAGGAAAGGAAGCACCGGCUAACUCCGUG
rnacentral:rRNA from 1 species